GAUGAACGCGGCGGCGUGCGUAACACAUGCAAGUUGGACGACGGUGUCAUGAAGUGGUAACACGGAAUGGCAUACGGAGUAGCGGACGGGUGAGUACAACAUGAGAAGCUGUCCUUCAGUGGGGGACAACGUCUGGAAGCGGACGCUAAUACCCCAUAAGCCGAGAGGUUAAAGCAGAGAUGCGCUGGAGGAGGUGCUCGUGCCCUAUCAGCUAGUUGGUGAGGUAAUGGCUCACCAAGGCGACGACGGGUAGCCGGCCUGAGGGGGUGAACGGCCACACUGGAACUGAGAUACGGUCCAGACUCCUACGGGAGGCAGCAGUGGGGAAUAUUGGGCAAUGGGAGGAAUCCUGACCCAGCGACGCCGCGUGAACGAUGAAGGCCUUAGGGUUGUAAAGUUCUUUUAUGUGGGAAGAAGGAAGUGACG
rnacentral:rRNA from 1 species